rnacentral:sRNA from 1 species
AAACUGAGGUAGGCGGGUCAUCGCGCUGGGGUCUGUAGUCUGAGCGCUGCCCGGUUGCUGCUGCCCAGGGACCGCGGACCCGGACGCAGGCAGACCAUGUGGACCCUGGUGAGCUGGGUGGCCUUAACAGCAGGGCUGGUGGCUGGAACGUGGUGCCCAGAUGGUCAGUUCUGCCCUGUGGCCUGCUGCCUGGACCCCGGAGGAGCCAGCUACAGCUGCUGCAGUCCCCUUCUGGACAAAUGGCCCACAACACUGAGCAGGCAUCUGGGUGGCCCCUGCCAGGUUGAUGCCCACUGCUCUGCCGGCCACUCCUGCAUCUUUACUGUCUCAGGGACUUCCAGUUGCUGCCCCUUCCCAGAGGCCGUGGCAUGCGGGGAUGGCCAUCACUGCUGCCCACGGGGCUUCCACUGCAGUGCAGACGGGCGAUCCUGCUUCCAAAGAUCAGGUGCAGCGGGGGUGUGGGUGCAGGGCAGGCAGACGGGCAGCAUGUAGAGCCUGGAACCCAGGAGCCCAGCUGGCAGGGCAGCCCCGAUUCCUGCCCUUGUGCCCUCAUUCAUGUGGCAUCUGUACUAAGCAACAGCCCUGGU